GAUAGGGGUUAGGUUAUCUCAUAACUAUGUGGGCGGAAGCGAGAGGGAGGGGAAUGCCUACGUCACUCGUACGACAAAGUCAAGUUUGACAGUUGUUUGUGGUUAUAUUUCCGUAUAUUUUUGUGGAAUUUUCUUAUAAUAUCGUUUAUUUGUUUAAUAUUUGUUGAGUUUUUAAGCAUAUAAGGACAAUAUUACUAUAAUUACUUAUUUGGGUCCUAUACAAAGGCAGUAAUGACUUGUGAAGUGUGUUUUCGUAACCGUGUAAAAUGAGUGGUGGUAACAUUUGUAGCAUAGCUAUAUGUAAAAGCAACUCCAAAAUUCCUGAACCAGAUGGAAACAAAAUAAUAAUGUUUUUGGACAUUUCCCAAAUACCUUAACAUUAUCAAACAAUAAUGGAUAAUAAAAUGUUACAAGAUAAAUGGGCCUCUAAACAUAAGAAAAUAGGUAGCAAACAUUUCCUCGUGUCUGAAUAUGUUAAUAUUAUGUUACGUCUUUUUUAUAUUCUAACCUAAUAAUAAAUUAUUUAUAUUA